CCCACAACAAAGAGGAUUUCACCUGUCACCUUUACACUUUUGAUGAGCUACAGUUAAUCAGCAGUACUGACACUGUUUGCCGAAGUCCCAAGCGGCCGAGCACGUGUUCAGGUGCCGAGUGAGUGUCUGAAAUGUCGGUGCUGCUCCUGGUCAGGCACCAAUCUGUGAUUUUUCUUCCUUCUGUGGCUUCUGCAAUUUUCAUUUUCAUAUGCUGAGGACACUCCUUCCUAUUAUGCCCUCAGAGGAAGAAGUGUGUGCUUCCCUGUUCCUCCCAGCUGAAGACAAACAGGAUGGCUGGAGCUGCAGCAGCCCUGUUGGAUCGGGAGACAGAAGUGACGGUUGACACUGGCAGAGUGGUUAGACUGAGGGAGCUUUUGUCUCUGAUGUUGGAAAGCUGCCCCAGCCCAACACUCAGGAUCCAGACCAUUAGAUGUGGGAGAGCACAUUUUUAUCUUGUUUGAGCCGCUGUUUGGGUGUUUGUCACAGCAGCAUAACAAAGGCCCUAGUAAUAUAAAUGAGAUAACCAAACUAUUAAUAAAACCUUCUGCAAGCCUUAGAGUUUCUUCUCAAAAACCUAAACCUAAAACUGGUUUUCCAGUAAGUGGAAAAAAAAAAAAACCCAAACUCAGCACUAUAAUGAAAUCAACAACUUGAAAUGGACGUGUCGUUUUGUUUUCUAUCUCUUACUGUAAUCAAGAAAACAGAACUGGCAUAAAGAUCAAGGAAGAGAAAAGAGCAGAUGCACAUCAGGGAGGAAAACACACUUCAUUAGAAACAGUGAUGCUUUGAGCUCUAAUUCACAACUUUAAAAGGCACAGUUUGCAUGUGCUCCUGGCAGGCGUGCCAUGCUUUUCUUCUAAUUAUAUUCAUAUGUAAAUAUACAUAUAUAAAUAUACAUGCUCAUCCAACUUUCCAAAUAUAUACAAUGGACUUAUUCCAUAAAUUUAAAAACAGUAAUUUGAAAAUAGAAUUAAAAAAAAAAAACACAUAAGGGAUUUGAAGUGCUUGACAAGCGUUUCCAAAAAUAAAGAUUUUCAUUAUGAAUAAAAUGCAUAGUGAUCUUUUUUGGAGGGUGUUACCUUAAAUUAUACAGUGUUUCUUAGCAUGGUCAAAGGUAUUGCCUCCCAUUUUAUCAUGAUAUUGUGUUUAUAGGAUAAAACAAGUAAAUAUCUGAGCCUAAAGCUGCCAUGAAUCCUGCUUGCAUGCUGGAUCCUGUAACAAAAACACAAAGCAAGGCUGGGAAUGUGACUCCGUCAAGGCAGCGCAUACCGAGUGUACACAGAGCCCGAGAUUCGAUACCUAGCUCUGCAUAAACUGCUUGGGGAUGCACAUCUGCCUGCCAGUGCUGCAUCUCAGUGCUCAUGGCCCGAAGGAGGGAGGACCAGAAGCUCCAGGUCAUCCUCAGCUGCAGAAGUUCCAGGCCAGCUUAGACUACUUGAGAACUUGUUUAAAAACAUGUAUAUGUAUAUGUAUAUGUAUAUGUAUAUAAACAUGUAUUUUACUAUAUAAAUAUAAUAUAUAGUAUGUAAUAUAUAAUAUAUUAUACAAAUAUAUAAUAUGUAUAGUGUGUAUAUAAUAUGUAUAAUCAAAGCAACCAUUACAGGAGGACAAUACCAAACAGCAAGUGUUCCCUAGGUUUGAAGUGAUGCAGGGUUUGCAAGGGAAGGAAGUCUCAUGCUCAGGAUUAUAAGAGAAGCUGGAGCUCCUGACCAGUUAGAGGACAACUGCUUUGGAGCUGAUCAGCUUGCUGGCUUCCUCUCCAGAUCAAUAUGCAAUGAAAUUAUUUGUACCAAUUUCUAGUAAAUAGUAAAACUAUUCUUGCUUCAAGAUAUCAGUGUGGAGCAAUUGUAUACAUUUGCUUUGUUUUUCUCAGCAGAUCUUCAAUUUUCCUUUUUACCAAUGUAAAAAGAAAGUGAAACUACUGAUGCCAAGGGUUACAUUAAAAUAUCAUCAUCGAGGGAACUUCCUGCAGAUGACUACCUGAGAUAUGCAUGUUAUGCAUUCAUAUAUCUGAGUGAUACAUAUUUGCAGACAACGAAUGUUUACAUAGUUAUGCAAAUCUGUAAUCUAAAAAGGAAAGCAAUUAACACCUAGACUCAGCUUGGCUUCAAAUAAUGCUGAAGGUUUUUGGCUGCAUCCGUAUCCAGGAAGUGUUACAGUCAUGGCGGAACAUAAGCAUACAGUGUCCAUGCUGACAUCCUUCCAUGUUGAAAUGUUAAGCUUUUCUGGGAAUUCCAUAUUCCGUCUCCCUAGUCUGUGUUUAGAUUAUGAACAUGCUUUAUAGGGCUGUGUUGAAUUCCAUGCUCUUUGCGGCACUGGGAAUUCUAUGUGGGCUGCAUAGGAUUCCUCACCUCGGAGCCCUUACAAAGUACACACAACAGAGUAUCAUCUGCCUGUUCUGGUGUGCCUUUGCACGCUUCUGGAAGCACAACCCUAGGAACCCAGGGAGCAUGGUCUGCUCACAGCUUAAUGCUGCUCGGGACAUUCAGCUCCAGCUUGGUCAUUCAGGGUUACUUUCCCUACUUCUUUCUCUACUUCUAGAUUCAACCACAUUUAGUCAAAGUUUAUUUUAUGGAGAAGAAGCUUUUAAAUCCGUAAUAAAUCUUUCAUGUUUAGAGAAAACAUUGGAAGGAAAAAAGAAAGAACACAUACAGACUGACAUACAAAGAGAGAGGGGAG